UACGUAGGGGACAAGCGUUGUCCGGAAUACUGGGCGUAAAGCGUGCGCAGGCGGUUCUAUAAGACAGAUGUGAAAUCCCCGGGCUCAACCCUGGGAACUGCAUUUUGUGACUGUAGAGCUGGAGUACGGCAGAGGGGGGAUGGAAUUCCGCGUGUAGCAGUGAAAUGCGUAGAUAUGCGGAGGAACACCGAUGGCGAAGGCAAUCCCCCUGGGCCUGUACUGACGCUCAUGCACGAAAAGCGUGGGGGAGCAAACAGG
rnacentral:rRNA from 1 species